AUUGACUGCUAGUUGCCAGUACACUCUUGCCUUUGCAAUUCCUGGACGUUUUGUUCAUGAUGUUCAGCAAGACGAGAAAAUAUCCGGGACCACUAUUUAAGAAAAUUUGUUUAUUGGAAUGUAUAAGAUCGGUGCGAAAUAUGUGUUUCUUAUUCUUUAAAAAAGAAAUUCAGUCUCGAUUAAUAUACAAAUUAAUUUAUAAAUACCCUGUACAAUUCAACAUUGAAGAAGAAGUAACAAAACUGUAGAAAAUCCAGUCAGUACAGAAGAGACAGAGGAACCGCGUAAUAGGUAGAGCCAUGGCACCACGAAAUCUGACAACCUGGAGGAUUCGUCCCUCUGCUGCAAGCUUUCAGAUAGUGCAGGGAAUCAACAGCUGGUUUCCAGGUAUGCUUUUCUGACGAAGAAAUAAUGGAAAUAAAGAAUCGCCUUGUCCAGAAGCUGGGACGCACUGAAUUAGAGAAACUACAGUGAAUCGUUGAUGCUUUUCUUGAUUUUUUUAAUUGAAUUUCGAUCUAGAAUUUCAUGAAUUAUAAUCUUACUUUUUUAGAUUUAAUUUCAAUUUUUUUUUUCAUUUGUUGACUCAAAGAACAUCUGGUGAAGAUUCUAGUCGCAAAUCAUUAACAUUUUCUUUGGUUGGAAAUGCUUGUAAAAUAACAUGAUUAUUACUUGGAAGAAAAUUAUUGAACUACCACCAAGUCUUCGGACGAACAGCUUUGAGCAACCGGCUCGUUGGUAUUUUUAAGAAAAAAAUGUUAGAAGACAUGUCUUCUUCCCAGCUUUUUCCUCGUUCAAAAAUCAUUCUCUGCAUCGGAGGAAAUGACUAACUUGUCGGCAAUCCUUUCCAUCUCAUUAACGUUCUUCUUCGAGGAGUGAAGCUGCCUCCACAUUACACCCAAGUUCUACGAAAAAAAACUGAGAUAUAGUUUGAGAUAUUUUCUUGGAAUUCAUUUUAAAAAAAAAAUGAAUUCCAAGAAAAUAUUAGAAAAGAUUAUAAGAACUUCUUAGCAUGUCUCUUAGUUCAUGGGGAUUUUUUCAUCAGAGUUCUUGUUUUCGCUGUUUCCUGCGUUGCAAACCGUGUUUCAUGGCAAAAAUACAUUUGUUGCUUUUUGGUCUUGAAACAUAAUUUGCACCAAACACACCGCAUAUACCAGGUUUUCAUUCCAGAACUGGGUCAGCACCAGCAGCCAUCUGGUAGUAUGGGGGUGGCGGCGACGUGGCACAAAGGGGGAGUACCAUACCAGAAAUAACUAACACUAACAGAAUGAGUUAGUUAAAGCAUCCAUCUCUACUCUCCCUCUCUUCACCCACCAAAAAACAACACUAACGAUAGAUAUACCUUUCUUAAUAAUCUUGACGACCUACCAUUCUCAUUCUCUUCUCUUCCCUCCUCUCCAAGGAAAAACUUGAAUUCCCUCAAGAAAAUGCCUCCUCUAAAAGCACUUGCCGCCUUGGUCAUCUUUUUGGGCAUAGCCUCGAUCCUGUUGCAGCAAAGGUAUUGGUUACCACUCUCUUCUAAGGGAAAAUCAACUCUAUAUGGACUUCAACAGUCUACUGCUGGCGUCCAUCACUCUGAAGAGUUUUUCUUGCUGAAUUAUGAGGCAAUGGAGAAGGAUUUAAAGGUCUUUGUGUACCCAGGUGGAAACCCAAAAACGUGUUAUCACUCAAUAGAUAAGAAGCUCAAGAGCAAUUAUGCAAGUGAGCAUUAUUUCUUCAUGAAUCUGAGAAACGGUUCGUUUUUGACUGAGAAUCCUGAUGAGGCUCAUCUCUUCUUUAUUCCCCUUUCUUGUCAGCCAAUGGAAGACCAGGAUGCUUUACCUCGUUAUAAGGAGAUGGUUAUCCAGAACUAUGUCCGCGCCUUAACUAUCAAAUACCCUUACUGGAAUAGGACUUUAGGCGCUGAUCACUUUUUUGUCAGUUGCCAUGGCAUUGGCAACAGGGCUACUGCUGCUUUCCCAUUUCUCCUGAAGAACGCAAUUCGACUUGUGUGUUCACCAAGCUAUGAUUCCAACUAUAUUCCACAUAAGGAUGUUUCCCUCCCACAGAUACUGGAGCUCUCUUUUCCUCCUGAAGGAGAUGGCAUGUGGAACGACUCAACUAUGGAGUCUCUCCCUAUCCAGCUAUCCCCAGUGGAGACUCACCCUUCCAGGACUAAACUUUGUUUCUGGGCUGGUUCUCCCAACUCAGAAGUAAGAAAGAAUCUUCGAGUUCAUUAUAAAGGUUUAGAAGAAUUUGAGAUCCAUUUCGUCGAGAAUGUUAAAAGGGCAUUGGUGCUAGAUACUUUUCAAAAGGAGAUACAUAGGAGUAAGUUUUGCAUCUGUCCUCGUGGGAAGACUCAAGUCGGUGGUGUUUGCUUAGCAGAGUCGAUGGCUUUUGGAUGUGUACCUGUUCAUGUGUCUUUCUGCAGUUAUCAUGUCCGACUACUAUGACUUGCCAUUCAAUGACAUCCUUGACUGGAAUGCAUUCUCUGUAAUUCUCAAAGAGCAUGAUGUUCCCAUAAUGGGGGAGAUUCUCAAAGGCAUACCAGAAGAUAUGUUCGAGAAAAUGCGUCAAAAUGUUCUCAAGGUUAGCAAGUACUUCAAGUGGCAUUUUCGUCCUGUCAAGUAUGACGAGUUUCACAUGGUAAUGUAUGAGCUAUGGAAGCGCCGCCAUAUCAUUAGGUACUGAACCACAAGAAGAUGGUCCUAAACGACAUUCCCCCCUGAUUGCUUUGCUGGUUUCUGAAGUUAAAUGCACAUGGCGUUGCAUGAUGUGCUUAAUAAUACUUUAAUUGAAGGAGAUAUCUGCCAUUUGAAAUCAUGGAUUCUUUACAAUAGCAGAAAGAUUACAAAUAUAUCUGUGUGCA